CGCGUAGGUGGCUUGGUAAGCGUGCGGUGAAAGCUCGAGGCUCAACCUCGAGUCUGCCGUGCGAACUGCCGAGCUGGAGCACGGUAGAGGCACAUGGAAUUCCGGGUGUAGCGGUGGAAUGCGUAGAGAUCCGGAAGAACACCGGUGGCGAAGGCGGUGUGCUGGGCCGUAGCUGACACUGAGGCGCGACAGCGUGGGGAGCAAACAGGAUUAGAUACCCUGGUAGUCCACGCCGUAAACGAUGGGCACUAGGUCCUUGGGGGAGCGACCCCUUGAGGGCCGUCGCAAACGCAUUAAGUGCCCCGCCUGGGGAGUACGGCCGCAAGGCUGAA
rnacentral:rRNA from 1 species